UAUCAGACAGGUUAACUUGUAGCCAAAUAUAAAGAUUCAGUUUCUUUAAAUUUAGUAUAUAUUAUCUGUGAUACAAACACACUGCAUGCAUAGCUUUCACCGGGAUCACUCUAUAUCACUCCCACAGGACUUGUGGGACAGGAGAAACCAACAUGAAUAUGAAGUGCAUGCUGCUUGCUGGACUCUGUGAAUGGACAAAGAGCAAAGAAAACUUCAUGGGCAAUGGUGGUACAAACAGAGAGAGAAAAGGACACAUAGAGACACAGAGAAGGAGACUAUGUGAAGAUGGAGGAAGAGACUAAAGUGAUCCAGCUACAAACCAAGGUUUAUAACGCAAACUGUUAUAGGAACACCUUUCCCAAUCUUCUGGAAUGUAGGCAUGACAGGGAGGUGGAAGAGCGGUGAGUCAAAGUCAAAGUAGAGCGAGGAGAAAGGAACGGGGGAAAGCAGAGCACAGAACCUGGGAAACAGUUGAUGAGCUAUGAGAGUGUUGGUGGUCCCCUUGUGUCUUACAUUCUUUUCAGCUUAAUUAAUGAUUCACUCUGCCUUUUAAUCUGCCUUCCAUAGAUUAUUAACCCAGUAGCAUCGUUUAUUUAACGCAAAUCACAGGAAGUUGGAUAUUAAAUAGUAUUGGUCAGUAUCUCCCAUAUUUGAGCGCCUAAUAACAUCUUGCUGAGUCACAUUUAGACCUCAUGCUGUGUUUAACAUAGUUCCUUGGUUGGUAUACAAUAUAGAUUCUGAACUUUGUUACUCUAGAAUUUCUUCAGAGGUUUUGAAAUUGUUUUAGAAAAAGAUCAUUUUUUUAAGUUCCAUAGACAAAGUAUAAAAAUUAAGUAUGCUUCAUAGUCCUUGAGCCAGGGUUUCCACAUAGGGCUGUAUGAUCAUUUUGAUAUAGAACAAAUAAAGUUCAUAUUAACUACCUCGAAUACCCAGGUAAAACGGUCCAGCAUUUAUUUAAGAAAACAAAGUAUAAUUGAAAUUGGUUGCUGUUGCUCUACUGUUGAAUUAUGAUAUUUACCCCUUUUUCCAACUUCUUCUUUCCCCACAAUUUCCCUCUUAUUAUCCAGGAGAACAAGAAUUUAGGUCUCUGUGUUUUCUCCGUGUUUCUCUCUUACUCUCUUUGGAAGCUACAAUAAGCUAUGUUGAAUUUAUUUGUUUUACUUUUUUAAUUUUAUUUUUAUGAGACACUACAAUCUCAUAUUCAGAGGUUCUACAUUAGAUUUAGUUUGUCCUUCAAAACUGGAUUAGAAAGAGAUGCCAACACAUAUGGUAACUCCUGGAACAAUUUACGGUUUGAACAACCCACAGGAAACCAUGAAAGCCAGAUUUUCUGUCAGUAUUGUGAAGCCAAAAUCUGUGUUUGGAAGUGAACUUGAGCAUGUACCUAAAAUCUGUGCAAAAACCCAUUUAAUGAUCUUAUAUAGUUUUAGAGGUGAUAUAUCCUGAGUGACAUUCCAAUAAAAGCUACCAAAGUCUUGACUAUAUUUUAAUGAGUGAAAGUAAUUGCGAGUUCUACUUUGUGUAUUUUAAAUGAAUACCAUUUUUACAAUUUUUAAAUUCACUCCAAAUCAAAGUUAAGAUCGAUUUCUUGUCUCUUAUAGCCUUAUCUAUGUGUUCCAUUUAUGUUUCGUUUUUCUUCAAAAGACAAGAACACUUGAAAUUUCCCUCUCCUUGAUACAGUUUCCAGUUUUGCGUGUGCACUCUGUGUAUUCAUGUAAAUAAUUUUACAGCCUUUCUUGUUAUUAAAUAUUAGUUGUGGAAUAAACCAG
rnacentral:lncRNA from 1 species